CUAAUCAGGUGUUCAGAACGGUCACCAAGCCUACCGACGUUGUCUCUUUCUCUCCUUUUCCACAACAAAACACUCUGUCCCCAACUUCAGAAACCCACACACCACAGCAGCGUCUCCACUCUCUCACCACAAAUCUUCAGCUCUCCAAACCCUCACUCCGCCUCUCAUUUUCUGCUUUCAAUUCUGUGGGUCUGUUGAGGUCAGAGAGUUUUGCUUAGAGGGCACACAUAGCUGAUUACAUGCCUGGAGCCAGCAGGGCAAGUUUGAUUCUAUCUAUGAUUUUAGUAUCUCUCUGCUAAAAAGGGGUGGACAUUUCACCACAAUGUCGGAGGCAAGUGCUAGUAGCUAUAAUUCCAACUAUAGGGGGCAUGUGUGUGACAUGGAUCAGUGUGUGUUGUGGACAUCUUUGCAGCUCCAUAAUUUCGGUAGACAAUUUUAUGGCUGUAGACAUUGGAAGCCUGGUAGCGACGAACAUUGUAAGUCCUUUAAGUGGUUGGAUGGCAUCCCAUGUAGGCGUGGAGAGUGUCAUUGCGAAAUUUACUAGGCUUGAGGCCAAGGCAGCUAUGGCAAAAAACAAUGAGAUGGAAGCCCGUGCAAUGAUAGCAAACCUACUCCAUAGGGAAAGAGUAGCAAAGUGUAGUGCUGAAAAAGCAAGGGUUUCCCUUCGUAUGGCCAAUGCGCAAGCACGUAAAUAUCAAAUUGCUCUACUUAUGUCAUGGUUGGCAUUUGUGGUGUUGUUUAUAUUUUCACUUGGUGAUUACGGCAAAUGUGUUUGCCAUGAUUUUGAAUUUGGAUUAGUGGUUUGCGUAAUGAAAUUCUAUCAUGUGGUUGGACAUGAAAAUGUAUUGUAGGUGUUAGGAGUGCCUUCUAGUGUAGGUAUUGGACCUGGCAACGUAUGUGUUGAAUGACAGAGUUAUUGUAACCUUAUAUAUAACAUUGCUGUUUUGUA